rnacentral:rRNA from 1 species
GAUGAACGCUGGCGGCGUGCCUAAUACAUGCAAGUCGAGCGAACCACUUCGGUGGUGAGCGGCGAACGGGUGAGUAACACGUAGGUGAUCUGCCCAUCAGACGGGGACAACGAUCGGAAACGAUCGCUAAUACCGGAUAGGACGAAAGUUUAAAGGUGCUUCUGGCACCGCUGAUGGAUGAGCCUGCGGCGCAUUAGCUAGUUGGUAGGGUAAAGGCCUACCAAGGCGACGAUGCGUAGCCGACCUGAGAGGGUGAACGGCCACACUGGGACUGAGACACGGCCCAGACUCCUACGGGAGGCAGCAGUAGGGAAUCUUCGGCAAUGGGUGAAAGCCUGACCGAGCAACGCCGCGUGAAUGAUGAAGGCCUUCGGGUUGUAAAAUUCUGUUAUAAGGGAAGAACGACUUUAGUAGGAAAUGGCUAGAGAGUGACGGUACCUUAUGAGAAAGCCACGGCUAACUACGUGCCAGCCGCCGCGGUAA